rnacentral:rRNA from 1 species
CCUACGGGAGGCAGCAGUGAGGAAUAUUGGUCAAUGGGCGAGAGCCUGAACCAGCCAAGUCGCGUGAGGGAGUACUGCCCUAUGGGUUGUAAACCUCUUUUGUCGGGGAGCAAAAGCCGGACGUGUCCGGCUGUGAGAGUACCCGAAGAAAAAGCAUCGGCUAACUCCGGGCCAGCAGCCGCGGUAAUACGGAGGAUGCGAGCGUUUUCCGGAUUUAUUGGGUUUAAAGGGUGCGCAGGCGGAUUUUUUAGGCAGCGGUAAAAUCGUGGGGCUCAACCCCAUCCAGCCGUUGAAACUGGGGAUCUAGAGUGUGCGAGAGGUAUGCGGAAUGCGUGGUGUAGCGGUGAAAUGCAUAGAUAUCACGCAGAACCCCGAUUGCGAAGGCAGCAUACCGGUGCACAACUGACGCUCAGGCACGAAAGCGUGGGUAUCGAACAGGAUUAGAUACCCCUGUAGUC